rnacentral:rRNA from 1 species
GACAGAGGCCUCGAGCGUUAGGCGGAAUCACUGGGCUUAAAGCGUGUGUAGGCGGACGAGUAAGUACCUUGUGAAAUCCCACGGCUCACCCGUGGAACCGCUGGGUAUACUGCUCUUCUUGGGCCACUCAGGGGCGACUGGAACAAGCGGUGGAGCGGUGAAAUGCGUAGAUAUCGCUUGGAACGCCGAAGGUGAAAACAGGUCGCUGGGAGUGCGCCGACGCUGAGACACGAAAGCCAGGGGAGCGAACGGG